rnacentral:misc_RNA from 1 species
UCUUGAAACCCCAGAUAACGAAUUAUUCGGAAAAUUGGUUCCAUUCAGUGAGAACAUUGUAAUUCGUGAGGAAGAAGAAGAAGAAGAAUAUCUGAGUGGCAGUUGAGAAGAGAGAGGAGCAAUGGAGUUGUUCUACUAUGUGUUGUUUGGGGCCAUGGCUGCUGUUGUGGCAGUUCUUGAGCUGGGUGGGAAGACCAACAAAGAUCGAAUCACAACUUCUCAGGCUUUCAAUUCAUUCAAAAACAAUUACAUUCUUGUUUACUCUCUUAUGAUGGCUGGUGAUUGGCUACAGGGUCCAUAUGUAUACUACCUUUACAGUACUUAUGGCUUUGGCAAGGGGGAUAUCGGACAGCUAUUUAUUGCUGGAUUUGGAUCUUCCAUGCUUUUUGGCACAAUUGUUGGAUCUCUUGCCGACAAACAGGGUCGGAAGAGGGCAUGUGUAACUUACUGUAUCACUUACAUACUGAGCUGCGUCACCAAGCAUUCCCCUCAAUACAAGAUUCUUAUGGUUGGACGUAUUUUGGGUGGCAUUGCUACAUCUCUACUGUUCUCAUCAUUUGAGUCAUGGCUUGUAGCAGAACACUUUAAGAGGGGUUUUGAGUCCCAAUGGCUCUCACUUACUUUCUCCAAGGCAAUAUUUGUUGGAAAUGGUCUUGUUGCAAUCAUUGCUGGAUUGUUUGGAAAUUUUCUUGUUGAUUCAUUAAAUCUCGGCCCUGUGUCUCCUUUUGAUGCCGCUGCCUGUUUUCUUGCCAUUGGCAUGGCAAUCAUAUUAUCAUCAUGGUCGGAGAAUUACGGAGACCCAUCAGAGAGCAAAGACUUGCUCACUCAAUUCAAGGGUGCAGCUGUUGCCAUCGCCUCAGAUGAGAAGAUUGCAUUGCUCGGUGCUAUACAAUCUCUAUUUGAAGGUUCCAUGUAUACAUUUGUGUUUCUCUGGACGCCUGCCCUCAGCCCAAAUGAUGAAGACAUUCCCCAUGGCUUUAUUUUUGCAACUUUCAUGUUGGCUUCAAUGUUGGGAAGCUCAUUUGCAGCUCGUCUUAUGGCAAAGAACUCACCUAAAGUUGAGAGCUACAUGCAGAUUGUUUUUGUCGUAUCUUCUGCAGCUCUCAUGCUUCCCAUUCUGACAACUUUCUUGGUACCUCCUUCAAAUGUGAAAGGGGGAGGCAUCACCUUUGCUGGAAGUAUCCAGCUUCUUGGCUUCUGUGCCUUCGAGUCAUGUGUUGGCAUCUUCUGGCCGUCCAUCAUGAAGAUGAGGUCUCAGUACAUUCCUGAGGAAGCAAGGAGCACCAUAAUGAACUUCUUCAGGAUUCCCCUCAACCUGUUCGUCUGCAUUGUACUUUACAAUGUCAAUGCUUUCCCCAUCACUGUGAUGUUUGGCAUGUGUUCAAUUUUCCUCUUUGUUGCAUCCAUUUUGCAAAGACGGCUUGCAGCCAUUGCAGACAAGCCAAAAGCAGAAGAUUGGACAGCAAUGAAGGAAAGGGACACUGAGGCUGAUCCAUUGAAUGCACCUUGAUUUGAGUUAAUCAAGGUGAGCAGUCAAAUAUCCUCUGGAAAUUUGUCUGAAAACGUCUAUUUAUUACCAUAAUCAGCCAUCCGGGUUUAAUAUUAGUUGAGCUUACAAUAUCUGAAGAGCAAUGACGGUGUGAUUAAAAAAUGGAGCUGUUCCUGCCUAGCAGAUAAGGAAGAGGCAUAUGAGCUAGUGGUGUUAUUAUCAUUCCCUGGUAGUUGUUGGUAGAUGACGAAUCAACGUCUUCCCCUAUUUUCAUGCUGCUGGGAUAGUUAUAUUAGUUGCUCUGAUUUCCCCCCUGUUUUUCUUGGCCUUGGUUCAAUUGUUGACGGAGGCCUAUAUUUAUGUCAUAGUUUUCUUCAUCUCUUUGACAAUUUAUCUCCCCAAUGUAAUAGUGAAAAAAUACAAGUCAAUUCUUUUCUAGCAAAGAUGCAAUUCUUGGGAUGUGAUUGAGAUGUCAUGCAAAUGGCAGAAAUGAG